rnacentral:rRNA from 1 species
AUUGAACGCUGGCGGCAGGCCUAACACAUGCAAGUCGAGCGGAUGAAGGGAGCUUGCUCCUGGAUUCAGCGGCGGACGGGUGAGUAAUGCCUAGGAAUCUGCCUGGUAAUGGGGGAUAACGUCCGGAAACGGGCGCUAAUACCGCAUACGUCCUGAGGGAGAAAGUGGGGGAUCUUCGGACCUCACGCUAUCAGAUGAGCCUAGGUCGGAUUAGCUAGUUGGUGGGGUAAAGGCCUACCAAGGCGACGAUCCGUAACUGGUCUGAGAGGAUGAUCAGUCACACUGGAGCUGAGACACGGUCCAGACUCCUACGGGAGGCAGCAGUGGGGAAUAUUGGACAAUGGGCGAAAGCCUGAUCCAGCCAUGCCGCGUGUGUGAAGAAGGUCUUCGGAUUGUAAAGCACUUUAAGUUGGGAGGAAGGGCAGUAAGUUAAUACCUUGCUGUUUUGACGUUACCAACAGAAUAAGCACCGGCUAACUUCGUG